AUCUGCCUGCCUCAGCCUCCCAAAGUGCUGGGAUUACAGGUAUGAGCCACAGCACCCAGCCUAUAUUUAUUUAUAAUAUAUGUAUGUGUGUAUCUAUCUCUAUCUUUAGGGUCAUUUGGAGAAUUAAAUGAACUAACCCAUGUAAAGCUCUGGGUACUGUGCCUGGCAUGUAGGAUACUUCAUAACUGUCACCUCUUUUUGUUGUUAUGACCUGAGCAUCUCUCUGUUCACCAGCCCUUGUUCCUCAGCCACAGGUUGAAGAUGACAGUAGCCCCUAAGGAACCUCAGUUCUAUCCCCAAAUGUGAAAGCCUUUUUAGUUAACCGCAAAUAAGUUGUCAGCAGAAAACUCGUCAUUCUGGACUCUGGGGCCAUGCACAGCCCUCAGGAGGAGCUACUGUUUUCUAUGCCUGUUAACAUGUGGCCUGGGGCCUCGUGGGCUAUUUGAAAAUUAGGACACAAGAAGUCCAAGCAUCACCUGGUGAUCAAAUGGAUUCCUCUAUCAGAGAGAGAACAGGUGCUUCUGUGAAGAAGAAGCCUCGGGAGGGAGUGAGAGAAGAAGGGAGCCCACCUGUGGUCGUCUGAGCAACAGCAGAAGAACCUGGGCUACUGGAGUAGCGUUGGUGAGAAACAGGUUGAUUUGAAGGUCAUUCUGCAGGUAGAAUGGACAGGUGGACUGGAGAUCCUGGAGGUCUUUUCCUUUGUGGAGGUUAUCAAUAUCAGAAUGGAGUCACUUAUAUCAAACCCUAACAAAAUGGAGGUGGAGGCCAUGAAGAACAAGGCUACGUGCAUACAUGCCUGUAACAGGACUUGUCACAAGGAAUCCCUGCACAUAUGACAGGGACUAUGCCAGGAACUCCUCAAAUAUACAGGAUUUGAGAUAGACUGGGAACUCCAUGAGGUCCGAGACAACCUGAAGACUCCCACCUCAUCAAAAACUGGCUACAGCAAUCACUUAGUAACUAUCUGUCGAAUUGGACCUAAUAGAAUAGCUGCAGAAUUUUAAACAAGUCACCAUCAGUGGAUUCCUCAAAGCAAACCCGGAAAUCUCGACAUGAGUCUGAUUUGAGGCAGUACAUUUUCAGCUCCUCAAAAUGUGAACAGUUUCCCAAGAGAACAACUUGAAACAGAAAGGGGAGGAUGUAGAUGCGAUUGUAGAAGAUGAUGUCUAAGGCCACCAGUUGUCCACUGUGAAGAUAAACCAUGCAUGGUUAGUUGCUGGUGACUCCCCUUCCUGUGGGUAGUCCCACUGCUUCCCUGGCCUGGGAGUUCUCUGCCAGUAGAUGUUAUUGACAAAAUAAGCAAAGUCCCCUGAUUCAGAGAAUGAGAGUUUCUGAUAGCUCCAGAUUGUCUCUGCCAUGCUAUUUACACUCCUGCUUUAUUGUCCAAUACGAGUUCAACAUCUAUGAGGAUUUGUCCAGUGCAAGUCCUGAAAGAUAUCACCAGCACACCUUGUCACCGUGCUGUCGUGAGCUAGGCAGUACAAUAAUGUUGGCAGGACCCUGUUUAGGUGGAGGAUGGCUACCUGGGCAUCAAGAAUCUUCUACUUUGAUUCCACAUUGAUUCCUCAAAGUGGGCUUCAGACAACUCUUCACUACAUCUUCCAAUUAAAGCAGUUGAUGGGCAUCCCAGCUAGAGAAAAGUCCUGGGAGCA